rnacentral:rRNA from 1 species
CAGCAGCCGCGGUAAUACGGAGGGGGCUAGCGUUGUUCGGAAUUACUGGGCGUAAAGCGCACGUAGGCUGCUUGGUAAGUUAGAGGUGAAAGCCCGGAGCUCAACUCCGGAAUUGCCUUUAAGACUGCCGAGCUAGUAGGUGAGAGAGGUAAGUGGAAUUCCGAGUGUAGAGGUGAAAUUCGUAGAUAUUCGGAAGAACACCAGUGGCGAAGGCGGCUUACUGGCUCAUUCUAGACGCUGAGGUGCGAAAGCGUGGGGAGCAAACAGGAUUAGAUACCCCCGUAGUCCCUGUCUCUUAUAC